UGACUGGUGUCCUCAGAACUGGUG
rnacentral:piRNA from 1 species